UUCGCAAUGCCCGAAAGGGUGACGAAGCGACGCCGCGUGAGCGAAGAAGGCCCUAGGGUUGUAGAGCUCUGUCGGGGGUUAUGAAAUGUAGACUGGUUAAUACCCAGUCUAUUUGACAAAGGCCCCAAAGGAAGCCACGGCUAACUCUGUGCCAGCAGCCGCGGUAAUACAGAGGUGGCAAGCGUUGUUCGGUAUUAUUGGGCGUAAAGAGCACGUAGGUGGUUUUGUAAGUCAGAUGUGAAAGCCUUCUGUUCAAAGGAAGAACGGCAUCUGAAACUACAAACCUUGAGUGUAGGAGGGGAGAAUGGAACUUCUGGUGGAGCGGUGAAAUGCGUAGAUAUCAGAAGGAACGUCGGCGGCGAAAGCGACUCUCUGGCCUAUUACUGACACUGAGGUGCGAAAGUUAGGGGAGCAAACGGGAUCAGAUACCCCGGUAGUCCUAACCGUAAACGAUGGGCACUAAGUAGAGGGGUUUU
rnacentral:rRNA from 1 species